rnacentral:tRNA from 1 species
AUAGAGUAGUCAGGAUAACUCAUUAGGCUCAUAACUUGAAAAUCGUAGGUUCGAAUCCUACUUCC